rnacentral:rRNA from 1 species
GCUAUACAUGCAGUCGAGCGGACAGAUGGGAGCUUGCUCCCUGAUGUUAGCGGCGGACGGGUGAGUAACACGUGGGUAACCUGCCUGUAAGACUGGGAUAACUCCGGGAAACCGGGGCUAAUACCGGAUGGUUGUUUGAACCGCAUGGUUCAGACAUAAAAGGUGGCUUCGGCUACCACUUACAGAUGGACCCGCGGCGCAUUAGCUAGUUGGUGAGGUAACGGCUCACCAAGGCGACGAUGCGUAGCCGACCUGAGAGGGUGAUCGGCCACACUGGGACUGAGACACGGCCCAGACUCCUACGGGAGGCAGCAGUAGGGAAUCUUCCGCAAUGGACGAAAGUCUGACGGAGCAACGCCGCGUGAGUGAUGAAGGUUUUCGGAUCGUAAAGCUCUGUUGUUAGGGAAGAACAAGUGCCGUUCAAAUAGGGCGGCACCUUGACGGUACCUAACCAGAAAGCCACGGCUAACUACGUGCCAGCAGCCGCGGUAAUACGUAGGUGGCAAGCGUUGUCCGGAAUUAUUGGGCGUAAAGGGCUCGCAGGCGGUUUCUUAAGUCUGAUGUGAAAGCCCCCGGCUCAACCGGGGAGGGUCAUUGGAAACUGGGGAACUUGAGUGCAGAAGAGGAGAGUGGAAUUCCACGUGUAGCGGUGAAAUGCGUAGAGAUGUGGAGGAACACCAGUGGCGAAGGCGACUCUCUGGUCUGUAACUGACGCUGAGGAGCGAAAGCGUGGGGAGCGAACAGGAUUAGAUACCCUGGUAGUCCACGCCGUAAACGAUGAGUGCUAAGUGUUAGGGGGUUUCCGCCCCUUAGUGCUGCAGCUAACGCAUUAAGCACUCCGCCUGGGGAGUACGGUCGCAAGACUGAAACUCAAAGGAAUUGACGGGGGCCCGCACAAACGNUGGAGCAUGUGGUUUAAUUCGAAGCAACGCGAAGAACCUUACCAGGUCUUGACAUCCUCUGACAAUCCUAGAGAUAGGACGUCCCCUUCGGGGGCAGAGUGACAGGUGGGGCAUGGUUGUC